GAUGAAGAACGUAGCGAAAUGCGAUACGUAAUGUGAAUUGCAAAUUCAGUGAAUCAUCGAGUCUUUGAACGCACAUUGCGCCCCUUGGUAUUCCAUGGGGCAUGCCUGUUCGAGCGUCAUUUGUACCUUCAAGCUUUGCUUGGUGUUGGGUGUUUGUCCCGAGGGACUCGCCUUAAAGUAAUUGGCAGCCAGUGUUUGGUUUUGAAGCGCAGCACAAGUCGCGAUUCAAGGCUACACGCCCGCUUCCACAAGCCUUUUUUCACUUUUGACCUCGGAUCAGGUAGGGAUACCCGCUGAACUUAAGCAUAUCAAUAAGCGGAGGA
rnacentral:misc_RNA from 1 species